UAAGGAAUAUUGGUCAAUGGACGCAAGUCUGAACCAGCCAUGCCGCGUGAAGGAUUAAGGUCCUCUGGAUUGUAAACUUCUUUUAUCUGGGACGAAAAAAGGCGAUUCUUCGUCACUUGACGGUACCAGAUGAAUAAGCACCGGCUAACUCCGUGCCAGCAGCCGCGGUAAUACGGAGGGUGCAAGCGUUAUCCGGAUUCACUGGGUUUAAAGGGUGCGUAGGCGGGCAGGUAAGUCAGUGGUGAAAUCCUAGAGCUUAACUCUAGAACUGCCAUUGAUACUAUCUGUCUUGAAUAUUGUGGAGGUAAGCGGAAUAUGUCAUGUAGCGGUGAAAUGCUUAGAUAUGACAUAGAACACCUAUUGCGAAGGCAGCUUACUACGCAUAUAUUGACGCUGAGGCACGAAAGCGUGGGGAUCAAACAGGAUUAGAUACCCUGGUAGUCCACGCCCUAAACGAUGAUUACUCGACAUUUGUGAUACACUAUAAGUGUCUGAGCGAAAGCAUUAAGUAAUCCACCUGGGAAGUACGACCGCAAGGUUGAAACUCAAAGGAAUUGACGGGGUCAUAGCUGUUUCCUG
rnacentral:rRNA from 1 species